rnacentral:rRNA from 1 species
UACAGAGGUGGCAAGCGUUGUUCGGAAUUACUGGGCGUAAAGGGCGCGUAGGCGGCCUUCUAAGUCAGACGUGAAAUCCCCCGGCUUAACCUGGGAACUGCGUCUGAUACUGGAGGGCUUGAGUGCGGGAGAGGGAUGUGGAAUUCCAGGUGUAGCGGUGAAAUGCGUAGAUAUCUGGAGGAACACCGGUGGCGAAGGCGGCAUCCUGGACCGACACUGACGCUGAGGCGCGAAAGCGUGGGGAGCAAACGGG